UCAAAGGUGCUCGACUACCGAGUACCUACUAUUGGUAUCAUGUAUCAUAAAUUAAUGACUAGCUACUAUUUUACUGAAGUUCUUCGCAUGCCUUCCAAUCAUGAGAAGAUUGGGGGUUGGUGUACUAUACACAACUUAUACAACCCCGUUACAAGUUCGUACCUGACGAAAAGCCGGCUUGAUGCUACCUGGCCAUAAGUCGACCUGUUCAUAACCGACCCCACGUCAACCAGUUCCUAC
rnacentral:lncRNA from 1 species